rnacentral:tRNA from 1 species
GGAAGUGGAAAGCUCACUGGUGGGGCUCCCGGACUUCAAAUCCGGUGAAGCGUCCUGAUACGGCGCUUGGUGGGUUCGAUUCCCAUGCACUUCCGCCA